rnacentral:misc_RNA from 1 species
UUUCCGUAGGUGAACCUGCGGAAGGAUCAUUCAUAAUAAAGUGUUUUAUGGCACUUUUUAAAAAUCCAUAUCCACCCUGUGUGCAAUGUUAGAUCUCGUCAAUCUUGGCGAGAUUUUUAUACAUCAACUCAUUCUUUAACUAAUUUGUCUGAAAAAUAUUAUGAAUACUUAAUUCAAAACACAACUUUCAACAACGGAUCUCUUGGCUCUC